GAUGAACGCUGGCGGCGUGCUUAACACAUGCAAGUCGAACGAUGAAGCCCAGCUUGCUGGGUGGAUUAGUGGCGAACGGGUGAGUAACCCGUGAGUAACCUGCCCUUAACUCUGGGAUAAGCCUGGGAAACUGGGUCUAAUACCGGAUAGGAGCGCCUACCGCAUGGUGGGUGUUGGAAAGAUUUAUCGGUUUUGGAUGGACUCGCGGCCUAUCAGCUUGUUGGUGAGGUAAUGGCUCACCAAGGCGACGACGGGUAGCCGGCCUGAGAGGGUGACCGGCCACACUGGGACUGAGACACGGCCCAGACUCCUACGGGAGGCAGCAGUGGGGAAUAUUGCACAAUGGGCGAAAGCCUGAUGCAGCGACGCCGCGUGAGGGAUGACGGCCUUCGGGUUGUAAACCUCUUUCAGUAGGGAAGAAGCGAAAGUGACGGUUCCUGCAGAAGAAGCACCGGCUAACUACGUG
rnacentral:rRNA from 1 species